rnacentral:lncRNA from 1 species
AGAAAAAAAUGCAAAGGUUUGAGGCUUAGCAGUACCAGACUUAAAAACUCUAAAAUAAAGCAGCAGUCAUCAAAAUCACUUAAUAUUCACUAAGAAAUAAAGUGGGGGAGGAGUAGAAUAGAUUAGAUAAACAUAAAACAAUAAUCAAGACUUAUAGUAAUCUAGCAUUUGAUAAACCCUGUAACUAGCUUCUGGGAUAACAAAAAUUGUUGAGAAAAUGGGAAAAGAAUAUAUUAGAAACUUGGCAUACACCUACAUUUCACACCCCAUACCAAAAUAAGGUCAAAAUUGGUACAUGAUUUGGGCAUAAAGAAUGAUAUCAUAAACAAAUUAGGAGAACAGUGGAUAAUUUACCCAUCAGGUCUUUGGAGAAGGGAAUAGUUUAUGACCAAAAAAGAACUAGAGAACAUUAUAAAAGGCAAAAUGGACAACUCUGACUACAUUAAAUUAAAAAGGUUUUGCAUAAACAAAACUAACAGAAACAAGAUUAAAAGGGAAGUACAAAGCUGGAAAAAAAAUCUUUACAGUCAGCAUUUCUGAUAAAGGUCUUAUUUCUGAAAUAUAUAAAGAACUGUGUCAAAUUUAUAAGAAUACAAGUCAUUCCCCCAAAGAAUAAAUGGUCAAAGGAUAUGAACAGACAAUUUUCAGAUGACUAAAUUAAAGCCAUCUAUAGUCAUAAGAAAAAAUGCUCUAAGUAACUAUUGAUUAGAGAAAUGCAAAUUAAAACAACUCAGGUAAUACCUCACACCUCUCAGAUUGGCUAAGAUGACAGGAAAGGAUAAUGCUAAAUGUUGGAGGGGAUGUGGGAAAACUGGGACACUAAUCUAUUGUUGUUGGAGUUGUGAAAUGAUCCAACCAUUCUGGAGAGCAAUCUGAAACUAUGCCUAAAGAGCUAUAAAACUGUGCAUAUCCUUUAAACUAGCAGUGUCCUUAGUCGGUCUGUAUCCCAAGGAAAUCAUAAAGGAGGGAAAAGGACCCACAUGUGCAAAACUGUUUAUAAUAGUUCUUUUUGUGGUAGCAAAAAAUUGGAAAAUAAGUAGAUGUUCAUCACUUGGGGAAUGGCUGAACAAAUUUUGGUAUAUGAAGGUAAUGAAAUAUUAUUGUUGUAUAAAAAAUGAUAAGCUAAUUUCAGAAAAGCCUGGAAAGACUUAGCCUAUACACAGCUGCAAAGAGAAGAAAAAUGUAUUCUGUUCAUUCAAGAAUGUGUAUUCAUAGUCACACUUAGAAAAUGAAACAUUAGUUAGACUACAUUAUGUAUAUGGUGCUUGAUUUUUAAAACUUAAAAAAAAUAGAAUAGACUAUAACUGAAAGACUACAUUUAAUAAAAACCAACAAAGACUAUAUGAUAUGCUAAAAUAAAAAUUUCAAAGUGACAUUCUCUAAAGAUUUAAGAAAAUUAAGAGAGGAAAAAAUACAAUUCAUAGUCCCACUCAUUUUUGUGAAUCCCAAUUAUAUUUAAUAAUGUAAUGAUUUAGCUAACUUCCUUGACCUUGUAUUUUGCUAUUUACUCAGAAGAGUAACUCAUAUUUAUGAGCCUAAAUCCAUUCUAUGAGACAAGGUCAACCAGUUCUUUAAUUCUAACCCUAAUGUAGUUCAGCACCAUAAGUUCUAUUACCAUCAUCUCUAUGUUUGAAAUAGGUUUUGAUUUUUUUUUAAUAAAAACAAUUUUUAUGAGGAAAAAAAUAGCUCACAUUAAACUUUUUUGUCGUUUUGGUCAUGUAAAAAAAAUAAAAAUAAACUUUUUUUUGUCUUUGUAGCUCUUUUUUUUCUUUUUAAUACACACUGCUUUAUGAAACAUGUUGAGAGAGAAAAAUAAGAGCAAAAGGGAAAAUCCAUGGGCGAGAUUUAAAAAUAAAAACAGAAAAAACAAGUGAACAUAGCAUGUAUUGAUUUACAUUGUCAUCUUAGUUCUUUUUUCUUAUUGCAGAUGACAUUUUCUAUCCAAAGUCUAUUGGGGUUGCUUUGGAUCACGGAACUACUGAGAACAAAGGCUUGCAUAGUUGAUCAAUGCACAUUCUUGCUGCUAUUGUGUACAAUGUGUUGCUGGUUCUGCUUGUUUCCCUCAACAUCAAUUCAUGUGAAUCUUUCCAGGCCUUUCUAUAAUAAGCUUGUUCAUCAUUUUUUAUAGAACAAUAAUAUUCCAUUAUAUGCAUGUACUACAAGUUAUUCAACCAUUCCUCAAUUGAUGGUUAUCCACUCUUUUUCCAAUUCUUUGUUAUCACAAAAAAGGCAGCUACAAACAUUUUUGCACAUGGGGGUCCUUUUCCCUCCUUAAUGAUUUCCUUGGGAUACAGACCCACUAAUGACACUACUGAGUCAAAGAGCAUGCACAAUUUUAUAGUUUUUUGAGCAUAAUUCCAGAUUGCUCUCUAGAAUGUUUGGUUCAUUUCACAACUCCACCAGCAAUGCAUUAGUUUUUUAGAUGCCCUCCAACAUUUAACAUUAUUCUUUCCUGUCAUCUUAGCCAGUCUGAGAAGUGUGAGGUAGCACCUCAGAGUCUUUUAAAUUUACAUUUCUCUAAUCAAUAGUGAUUUAGAACAUUUUUUCAUAUAACUAUAAAUGGCUUUAAUUUAGUCAUCUGAAAAUUGUUUAUAUCCUUUGACCAUUUAUUCUUUGGGGAUUAUGAAUUUGACGUUGUUCUUUAUAUAUUUUAGAAAUGAGACCUUUAUCAGAAAUACUAGAUAUAAAAUUUUUUUCUCAGCUUUUUACUUCCCUUUUAAUCUUUUUGGUGUUGGUUUUGUGUGUGCAAAAAAAUGUUUUAAUUUAAUGUAAUGAAAGUUGUCCAUUUUGCCUUUCAUAAUAUUCUCUAGUUAUUCUUUAGUUAUAAAUUGCUUCCUUCUCCAAAGAUAUGAUAGGUAAACUAUCCCUUGUUCUUCCAAUUUGUUUGUGGUAUCAUCCUUUAUGCCCAAAUUAUAUAUCCAUUCUGACCUUGUUUUGGUAUGGAGUGUGAGACAUAGGUUUAUGCCUAUUUUUUAACAUAUUAUUUUCCAUUUUUUUUCAGCAAUUUUUGUCAGAUAGUGAAUUCUUAUUCCAGAAGUUGGAGUUUGGGGUUUGUCAAAUCCUUUGAUUUUUUUUUCAUUAAUUUCCUUGAUAUUCUUGACCUUUUGUUCUUCCAGAUGAAUUUUGUUAUUAUUUAUAAUGUCUAGCUCCCUGGAGGGCCUCAGAAUCAGCCAGAGUCAGGAUAAAUCAAAGUCUUUGGUCUUUAGGGGGAGAAGUGAAGGAGACAGGCAAACUGUGACAUGGUUUGCCAAAGAUGUAUCCUGGAUUCUGGAGUCUGGAGUCUGGAGUCUCCAUCCUCUCUUCUCCUCGUCCUGCUGCCAAGUGACUGACUUCUCUCCCCCAGCCCUCCAAUCCUUGCCUACAAUUAUCUCACUACCAAAACAUUCAGCAAGCACCAAUAGUGAGGAGAGGCCAUCACAUCACCAUCUUAUCUAAGUAUGUAUACAGAGCCAUUAUCUCACAUCUAAUAGGUAAUUAUCCUUAAGUGCUCUCUUGUCUGAUUCAAGCACACCUUUUUCAGAGUUUCAGCUCUCUACAAUUACUUUUCUAGUUCAUAAAAUAAUAUUUUGGCAGUUUGAUAAGUCUUGAUUUUAAUAACUAGACCUUCUUGUUCUGACAAAGUAUUUUUAUUACUGUUCUUAUAUAUCCAAUUUUAAUAAUAACAUAUUCCUGUUUUAUCCCCUUUGUGUGUAAAUACAGCACUCAGUUUUUCUAGGGCUGGAAUCUAAUCUUGUUCCUUUUCAAGACCCUGAAGGAUCCUAAACUCUGGUCACCAUGACUAGAUCUAUUUAAAUGGCAGACAACUGGCUUUCUGAAUCACUUUUCAUUCUUAUAACAGACUUUGCUCUUACCUUAGAGUUAGACGUGACUUCAGAAGCUAUCUUUCCUCAUGCUGAACUAUGUUCCCAUCAAAUAGUGAUAUUUCCUUGUUGUUAGACUUUCUUAAUGUUAACUGUUCACCUGUAAUGAUGUUU